AACGAACGCUGGCGGCAUGCCUAACACAUGCAAGUCGAACGAGACCUUCGGGUCUAGUGGCGCACGGGUGCGUAACGCGUGGGAACCUGCCCUUAGGUUCGGAAUAACACAGAGAAAUUU
rnacentral:rRNA from 1 species